AGGUGGAUACCGGGGAGUUAGAGGCAGAGGUAACUCGAGGGGUUCAAAUUAUUCCAGUGGCUUCAAAGCAAACUUGACUAACUUGGCAACGCAAGAAGAAGGGACGUCAACAACCUCUCAAGGGGAGUCGAAGAGUAGAAGCCAGGAGGACAACACCUUUGGGAACUUUGCCCACUUUGUCUACACAGGGGAAGGAGAGGAUGACUGGAAGGAAACUUGGGACAGGAACUAGGCGUAGUGGAUUGUGGUAUAUGGAUCGUGAUGUGUCUAGGUCUGGUGCUAGUCCUAUUUUGGAUGUAUUAGUUGGAGUAAGUGAGACAAUGGCGAUGAUCCAUCACUGUCGCAUGGGGCAUAUGGCUUUUGAUAAGAUGAGUAAGAUGUUUCCUGAUGUAAUGCGUGGAGUAGACAAGAGUAAGCUUGUGUGUGAUGCAUGUGAAUAUGCAAAGCACACAAGAAUCUCAUAUUUGAGUAAGGGGCUAAGGAGUAUAUCCCCGUUUAUGCUGAU